GCUGGCGUAGCUUAAGGUGGCAAAGCCCCUCCUUGGUAUGGAGGUAGACGCGGGUUCGAAGCCUGCCGCCAGCCCCA
rnacentral:tRNA from 1 species